UACGAGGAGGGCAAAUGUUGUUCGGAAUCACUGGGCGUAAAGAGAGCGUAGGCGGGCUUCUAAGUUAGAUGUUUAAUCCCGGGGCCCAACCCCGGACAGGCACCUAAAACUGGAAGUCUUGAAUAGUGGAGAGGACGGCGGAAUUGGGGGUGUAGCGGUGGAAUGCGUAGAGAUCCCCAAGAACACCAGUUGCGAAGGCGGCCGUCUGGACACAUAUUGACGCUGAGGCUCGAAAGCAUGGGGAGCAAACAGG
rnacentral:rRNA from 1 species